CAUUAGAUGACUGAAAGCAAGUACUGGUCUCUUAAACCACUUUAUAAUAUAGUAGCGUAUAUUUCUAAUGA
rnacentral:tRNA from 1 species